UCACCGGCGUUUUACGUAAGCACGCAGCUUCUCCUCUCCUCCAGGUCCAGCAGGAUAAUAUAAAUAAAUAUAAAUAUAGUUAUUUAUGUAUUUCUGGAACCGCGGCGGAGCUGGAGGAACAGCAGCCCGCCUGAGAGGAGCUUCAGAGCGGCCCUGAGGAUUUCUGACGACAAAGAACAGCAGACUCAGAAACACAAGAUGCCAAAAGAGCAAAUCCAGACAAAGAGAAGAGAAGAGCAGUGAAAUCAGGUCCUGAAACUCCAGCCAGCGUUCUCAAAAACUACGAUUCUACAAAGGGUUUUUUGAGCGACGCCAAAGAAGAAGCACUUUCAGUUUUUAUUUUAAAGGGAUGUGAAGAACUUUCUACCCUGGUAAAAAACACCUUUAUGUCAAGUUAAGAUAAAAUUAAACAAUGUGACUCGUUCUUAAAGCUACUGCGUACCUUAUCUUAUUUUACUUUUAAAAGUUUCUCAUCUUAAAGUUACCGCGUACCUUAUCUUAUUUUAUAGUUA